rnacentral:lncRNA from 1 species
AUGAGUACACAAUUGGGUUCAUACAUAGAUGAGAACUGGGAGGUUCUAAGAAUCGGAAUAAACAAGGGCGUCUACCCUCAGGAAAACAAUGCAUCCUUGGUGAAUAUGAUGCAGUGGCUGACUCUAUGUGACCUAAGACCCGCAGGAAUUCGUAGGAGUAUGUGCCGUUCCCUGACGUCAUGCAUGGUUUUGCAGUGUGCUUGCAAGGAGCCCCUUAUUCAAGCAGACCAAGAAAACGUGAGACUUUCUACAUGUGUAUUCACUUCACAACCAACAUGUCAAUGCAUGGAUGGGUAGGUCCCUGUUGCUCAUUUGGGAGCAACCGUGUGUGUUACUGGGGCACAGCUUGACGUAGACUUGACCAGUCGUCUAAAUGGAGAUUGGACGUCUCAGUUCUCAGGAACUGCUCAUGGUAACACUGACUCUGGAUCUAGUCCUCCCCCGGAGCUUGGUCACCCUUCCUCCAGCUAGACUGGGAGGGAAGUCAGGAAUGCUGUGGUUCCAGCCAGUGAAGGAAUCUGUGGGCCGUCUUCCACUCCCACAGGCCUGCUAGGAGUUCGGGCCGUGUCUACUUUAUUUGACAUCACGGUCAAGUGGGGCUAAUAUUUAUCUU